GUGGGGAAUAUUGGACAAUGGGCGCAAGCCUGAUCCAGCCAUGCCGCGUGAGUGAUGAAGGCCCUAGGGUUGUAAAGCUCUUUCACCGGUGAAGAUAAUGACGGUAACCGGAGAAGAAGCCCCGGCUAACUUCGUGCCAGCAGCCGCGGUAAUACGAAGGGGGCUAGCGUUGUUCGGAAUUCCUGGGCGUAAAGCGCACGUAGGCGGGUAUUUAAGUCAGGGGUGAAAUCCCGGAGCUCAACUCCGGAACUGCCUUUGAUACUGGGUACCUAGAGUAUGGAAGAGGUAAGUGGAAUUCCGAGUGUAGAGGUGAAAUUCGUAGAUAUUCGGAGGAACACCAGUGGCGAAGGCGGCUUACUGGUCCAUUACUGACGCUGAGGUGCGAAAGCGUGGGGAGCAAACAGGAUUAGAAACCCCUGUAGUCC
rnacentral:rRNA from 1 species